rnacentral:lncRNA from 1 species
GACCUUCUUUUCACACAUUUCACAUGUUCCCCUGCUACAUAAACCUUAAAAAUAACUCCACCAUGAUUAACAAACUCCUGUAAUACGAUUGGCGGUUUCAGUUCUUCUAGUCCUUCUGGUUUUAAAACUAAAUACAUUUGGUGUGAAUCAGCUCACGAUUGGUGGUUUCAGUUCUUCUAGUCCUUCUGGUUUUAAAACUAAAUACAUUUGGUGUGAAUCAGCUGUCCCAUUAGCAAUUAAAGGCUUAGCAAUAACGGGGAAAUCCAACCCUUGACGCGUGAUAUGGUCCAAGAGAGAAUCAGAAUUUUCUUGAAUAAAAAUCUGAAGAGGGACUCCAAUAGUUUCUUUUUCUUUAGUGAUUUUUAAUUCGUUAACAACUUCAAGCAUUGAAAUUCGGUUGUGGAGUUUUUCUAUAGCAUCAAUAGGAUCUAUUAUGAUGGUGGUUGGGUUGUGAAGGGAAAAUUCUUCCAACUGUUUCCUCCAUUCAGGACCAUAUAGCUUGUGGAAAAUACAAUCAAAAGGACCUUGUUCGAUUAAUGGUAUAUUCAGAUCAAUUGGGAUUAGAUCAAUACCUUGUUGUUGGGCAUGCUUGACGAGGGAAUCUUGAAUAAAGCUGCUUACUUUCUUUGGUGCAAGUACAUAACCAAAGCGAAAUCUCCUUUCUGACAUGGCUGUCAAUCGAGAGAUGCGAGCAACGAGGGGAUGUACUAAAUUAGCAAAUGUUAAGGAGAGGGAUUUUAACUUAAGGACUAAGGAAGCUGACUAUACGAUAAAGACAGAUCCCUUUUUUGAGUGUUUCUCGGAUUGCGCAAAAAAGUAGCGGGACGCGUGGCACGUUGCCGACUCCGAGGACGAACAUCAACGCAC